GACGAACGCUGGCGGCGUGCUUAACACAUGCAAGUCGAACGGAAAGGCCCUGCUUUUGUGGGGUGCUCGAGUGGCGAACGGGUGAGUAACACGUGAGUAACCUGCCCUUGACUUUGGGAUAACUUCAGGAAACUGGGGCUAAUACCGGAUAGGAGCUCCUGCUGCAUGGUGGGGGUUGGAAAGUUUCGGCGGUUGGGGAUGGACUCGCGGCUUAUCAGCUUGUUGGUGGGGUAGUGGCUUACCAAGGCUUUGACGGGUAGCCGGCCUGAGAGGGUGGCCGGCCACAUUGGGACUGAGAUACGGCCCAGACUCCUACGGGAGGCAGCAGUGGGGAAUAUUGCACAAUGGGCGGAAGCCUGAUGCAGCGACGCCGCGUGCGUGAUGACGGCCUUCGGGUUGUAAACCGCUUUCGCCUGUGACGAAGCGUGAGUGACGGUAAUGGGUAAAGAAGCACCGGCUAACUACGUG
rnacentral:rRNA from 1 species